rnacentral:rRNA from 1 species
CUAGCCAUAAACUUAAAUAUUUCUCAACAAAAUUAUUCGCCAGAGAACUACAAGCAACAGCUUAAAACUCAAAGGACUUGGCGGUGCUUUAUAUCCAUCUAGAGGAGCCUGUUAUGUAAUCGAUAAACCCCGAUAUACCUCACCAUCACUUGCCAAUACAGCCUAUAUACCGCCAUCUUCAGCAAACCCUUACAAGGAAUAAUAGUAAGCCAAAUUAUUACCAUAAAAACGUUAGGUCAAGGUGUAGCCAAUGUGAUGGCAAUAAAUGGGCUACAUUUUCUAUUUUAAGAACAUAUCCCUACGAAAGCCCAAAUGAAACCAAGGCUAAAGGAGGAUUUAGUAGUAAAUUAAGAAUAGAGAGCUUAAUUGAAUAAGGCCAUGAAGCACGC